rnacentral:misc_RNA from 1 species
GUAGGAGCGAGGCUUGCCCGCGAAAGCAAUGGAUCUGCCGACAUCCACGGUGAAUGUCAGCACGUCUUCGCGGGCAAGCCUCGCUCCUAC